UUUCCUUCCUCCCUUCCUUCUUGCCUUUCUUCUUUUCUCCCUUCUCUCCUUUCCUUUCUAUCUUUCCUUUUCUUCCUUCCUCUUCUUUUUUCUUCCUCUCUUUCUAUCUUUCCCCUCCUUCCUUUGUUCCUUUGUUCCUUCCUUUGUUCCUUCCUUUGUUCCUUCCUUCCUUCCUUCCUUCCUUCCUUCCUUCCUUUCUUUCUCUUCCUUCCUUUCUUUCUUUCUUUCUUUCUUUCUUUCUUUCUUUCUUUCUUUCUUUCUUUCUUUCUUUCUUUCUUUCUUUCUUUCUUUCUUUCUUUCUUUCUUUCUUUCUUUCUUUCUUUCUUUCUUUCUUUCUUUCUUUCUUUCUUUCUUUCUUUCUUUCUUUCUUUCAUUAUUUUAUUGGUUUCUCUCUCUUACCAAUACAGAUCAGUACCUUAUCAACAACAUAUUGUCUUAGGGUGGUACUUGGAAAGUGAUCUAUUCAGUAUUUCAGAGGUGAGAUUUAGAUCCAGGUGAUCUGUACUCCAAAUCCAACUAUCUAUCCAUGGUGCCAUGAAUCUUCUCUAAGUUUAGGGCACAAGAUAAUAGAAUCAUAGAUUCACAACUAGAAAGGACUAGAAUCUACUUAUUCCAAACCCCUCCAUUUUACAAAUAAGGAAAGCAAGAUUACUUACUAGCUGUGUGAUCUUUAACAAGUCACUUAAUCCUAUUUGUCUCAGUUUUCUCAUCUGUAAAAAGUAUCAGAGAAGGUAAUGGCAAACAUUUUAGUAUUUCUGCCAAGAACACCCCAAAAAUGGAGUCACAAAGAGUCAGACAUACCUGAAAACUAUUGAACCGCCACCACAAAAAAAGGCCCAGGGAAUUGAAGUGUCUUGCUCAAAGUUUUGGAAGUAUGUCAGAAUUUGAACCAAAUCUUCUGACUCUAAAUCCCAGGCUCUUUCUACUGUACCAUGCAGAUGAGGACACUAAAACAAAAUUAAAUUCCUUCUCCAGUGGGUUGAAAAUAAUAACUAGCCUAUUCCUUCCUUCUCCCUAAAUAGUCUAUAUUUACUAGGAGCAAACAGAGUUAUUGUCCAUGGACAUUAUGGGUCAAAGCAGC
rnacentral:lncRNA from 1 species